UACGUAGGGUGCAAGCGUUAAUCGGAAUUACUGGGCGUAAAGCGUGCGCAGGCGGUUUUGCAAGACAGAUGUGAAAUCCCCGGGCUCAACCUGGGAACUGCAUUUGUGACUGCACAGCUUGAGUGCGGCAGAGGGGGAUGGAAUUCCGCGUGUAGCAGUGAAAUGCGUAGAUAUGCGGAGGAACACCGAUGGCGAAGGCAAUCCCCUGGGCCUGCACUGACGCUCAUGCACGAAAGCGUGGGGAGCAAACAGG
rnacentral:rRNA from 1 species